ensembl:lncRNA
GGGCAAUUAUGCCCGUACACGAAGCAACGAUUAGGAGAAGUAUUGUAGUAUAGUGUAUCCUUAAUUGUAUUGCACGAAAGAGAGAGCUAAGUGGGAAAUCCAUGGAUCUCGGAAGUUUUUGGAUUUCAUUUCGCGAACAGAGCGGACAUUGAAUGUGAUGCGCAAGAAAAGCUCCUGAAACCUCUAGCAUUAGCAAACAUGUCACGCAGUUGCUGUGCUCCUAAAAAUACCGCCUCCUCUCCAAACCCAUCCCAUGCCCCACAGUCACUUCCAGCCUCAUGCGGUGGAGACACAUAAUCAAGCUUUCAUCCAGUGGUUGCAGCUUGUUUGUUUUGAGAGUAAGGCGUGUGACAUUAAGUGAGCUGGAAAUGUCUCAGAGGACAAAACAACGACGGCUGAUGAAAUCAUUUGCAAAAGGAAUCAGUUUAGAUCUGCUGUUCAAGAGCUGCAGGGAUCAUUAAAUGCCAAAUCAGU